AUACGGAGGGUGCAAGCGUUACUCGGAAUCACUGGGCGUAAAGCGCGCGCAGGCGGCUUGAUAAGUUGGAUGUGAAAUCCUACGGCUCAACCGUAGAACUGCAUCCAAAACUGUCAAGCUAGCGUCUGGGAGGGGAAGAUGGAAUUAGUUGCGUAGGGGUAAAAUCCGUAGAGAUAACUAGGAAUACCAAAAGCGAAGGCGAUCUUCUGGAACAGUACUGACGCUGAGGCGCGAAAGCGUGGGGAGCAAACAGGAUUAGAUACCCCAGUAGUCC
rnacentral:rRNA from 1 species